GGUUGUGGGGGGGGUUAGGUUUUCUCUCUCUCUCCUCUCUUUCUCACUCAUCUAGCCACCAAAAUACAAAGUGUCAUACAUGAAAGUUUAAGUAUAGAUCAUGGUGAAUCCAUCACACUACUUUGUUUAGGCUGAAAAGACUUGUGUGAAGAGCUCUCUUCCUCGCAAAAUUUGGUUACUAUUCAUCCUAGUGAGAGAAGUGAAUUUUUAGGUGGAACCAAGCUUGGGUUUUGUUCUCCAAGCUUUGCAUAAGCGAUUUGAGGUGUGCCUAGGGACUGAGCAUGUUUGGAUUCCUUUGGAGCUAAAUAGGUAACUUGUGUUACAAGUGAGCAAAUUGGUAAAGCUUCAAAAGGAACAAAGUUAAUUGAAGAGCCCUCAUGGAACAAGGACACUACCCGUGGCUAGAGGUACUAGUAUGAGGAUAUGGAGUUCUAGGUAGCCGGAGGCUACUAUUUAUUAUAGAUGUUAUUUUUGGAGAACAUGUAUUGUUGUAUAGUGUUCUAUUCAUUUGGUGAUCAUGAUGUCUGAUCCUUUAUUUUGUAUAUGGCCUGUAUAUGUUUUGUACAUGUCUUUCAGCUGAAUGCAUGUACAUUUGAGUAUUCAGGCAUGUUGAUAUGAUGAUGUAGUAUUCAGUUUAUGUGUUGGAUUACAUGCUGUUAGACA